UGCAUUCACUAUUGUAAGUCGCUCUGGAUAAGAGCGUCUGCUAGAUGACUGAAA
rfam:Salmo salar isolate Sally breed double haploid chromosome ssa21, whole genome shotgun sequence.